CCCUAGUGACCGAUAGUGAACCAGUACCGUGAGGGAAAGGUGAAAAGCACCCCGGAAGGGGAGUGAAACAGUUCCUGAAACCGUGUGCCUACAAGUAGUUAGAGCCCGUUAAUGGGUGAUAGCGUGCCUUUUGUAGAAUGAACCGGCGAGUUACGAUUUGUUGCAAGGUUAAGCGGAAAAAGCGGAGCCGUAGCGAAAGCGAGUCUGAAUAGGGCGCAUAAGUAACAGGUCGUAGACCCGAAACCAGGUGAUCUACCCAUGUCCAGGAUGAAGGUAAGGUAAUACUUACUGGAGGUCCGAACCCACGCACGUUGAAAAGUGCGGGGAUGAGGUGUGGGUAGCGGAGAAAUUCCAAUCGAACUUGGAGAUAGCUGGUUCUCUCCGAAAUAGCUUUAGGGCUAGCCUCGAGGUAAAGAGUCAUGGAGGUAGAGCACUGUUUGGACUAGGGGCCCUUCUCGGGUUACCGAAUUCAGAUAAACUCCGAAUGCCAUGUACUUAUACUCGGGAGUCAGACUGCGAGUGAUAAGAUCCGUAGUCGAAAGGGAAACAGCCCAGACCACCAGUUAAGGUCCCCAAAUAUAUGUUAAGUGGAAAAGGAUGUGGGGUUGCUUAGACAACCAGGAUGUUGGCUUAGAAGCAGCCACCAUUGAAAGAGUGCGUAAUAGCUCACUGGUCGAGUGACCCCGCGCCGAAAAUGUACCGGGGCUAAACAUAUUACCGAAACUGUGGAUGAACCUCUUUAGAGGUUCGUGGUAGGAGAGCGUUCUAAGGGCGGUGAAGUCAGACCGGAAGGACUGGUGGAGCGCUUAGAAGUGAGAAUGCCGGUAUGAGUAGCGAAAGAAGGGUGAGAAUCCCUUCCACCGAAUAUCUAAGGUUUCCUGAGGAAGGCUCGUCCGCUCAGGGUUAGUCGGGACCUAAGCCGAGGCCGAUAGGCGUAGGCGAUGGACAACAGGUAGAGAUUCCUGUACCAGUGCUAAUUGUUUAACCGAUGGGGUGACACAGAAGGAUAGGGAAUCGCACGAAUGGAAAUGUGCGUCCAAGCAGUGAGUGUGAGAAGUAGGCAAAUCCGCUUCUCGCGAAGCAUGAGCUGUGAUGGGGAAGGAAAUUAAGUACGGAAGUUCCUGAUUUCACGCUGUCAAGAAAAGCCUCUAGGAAGAGUAGUACUGCCCGUACCGCAAACCGACACAGGUAGAUGAGGAGAGAAUCCUAAGGUGAGCGAGAGAACUCUCGUUAAGGAACUCGGCAAAAUGACCCCGUAACUUCGGGAGAAGGGGUGCUCUAUUAGGGUGCAAGCCCGAGAGAGCCGCAGUGAAUAGGCCCAGGCGACUGUUUAGCAAAAACACAGGUCUCUGCAAAACCGUAAGGUGACGUAUAGGGGCUGACGCCUGCCCGGUGCUGGAAGGUUAAGAGGAGUGCUUAGCUUCGGCGAAGGUACGAAUUGAAGCCCCAGUAAACGGCGGCCGUAACUAUAACGGUCCUAAGGUAGCGAAAUUCCUUGUCGGGUAAGUUCCGACCCGCACGAAAGGCGCAACGAUCUGGGCACUGUCUCAACGAGAGACUCGGUGAAAUUAUAGUACCUGUGAAGAUGCAGGUUACCCGCGACAGGACGGAAAGACCCCGUGGAGCUUUACUGCAACCUGAUAUGGAAUGUUUGUACCGCUUGUACAGGAUAGGUAGGAGCCGAAGAGACGUGUGCGCUAGCAUACGAGGAGGCAAUGGUGGGAUACUACCCUGGCUGUAUGACCAUUCUAACCCGCCACGCUUAGCGCGUGGGGAGACAGUGUCAGGUGGGCAGUUUGACUGGGGCGGUCGCCUCCUAAAGAGUAACGGAGGCGCCCAAAGGUUCCCUCAGAAUGGAUGGAAAUCAUUCGCAGAGUGUAAAGGCACAAGGGAGCUUGACUGCGAGACUGACAAGUCGAGCAGGGACGAAAGUCGGGCUUAGUGAUCCGGUGGUUCCGCAUGGAAGGGCCAUCGCUCAACGGAUAAAAGCUACCCCGGGGAUAACAGGCUUAUCUCCCCCAAGAGUCCACAUCGACGGGGAGGUUUGGCACCUCGAUGUCGGCUCGUCGCAUCCUGGGGCUGUAGUCGGUCCCAAGGGUUGGGCUGUUCGCCCAUUAAAGCGGCACGCGAGCUGGGUUCAGAACGUCGUGAGACAGUUCGGUCCCUAUCCGUCGCGGGCGCAGGAAAUUUGAGAGGAGCUGUCCUUAGUACGAGAGGACCGGGAUGGACACACCGCUGGUGUACCAGUUGUUCCGCCAGGAGCAUCGCUGGGUAGCUAUGUGUGGCAGGGAUAAACGCUGAAAGCAUCUAAGCGUGAAGCCCCCCUCAAGAUGAGAUUUCCCAUUUCUUCGGAAAGUAAGAUCCCUGAAAGAUGAUCAGGUAGAUAGGUUUGGAGUGGAAGUGUAGCGAUACAUGGAGCGGACAAAUACUAAUCGAUCGAGGACUUAACCAAAA
rnacentral:rRNA from 1 species